AUCCUGGCUCAGAACGAACGCUGGCGGCAGGCUUAACACAUGCAAGUUGAACGUGAUUUGCUGGGUGCUUGCACCGAGCAAUGAAAGUAGCGCACUGGUGAGUAACACGUGGGAACGUACCUUUUGGUGGGGAACAACAGUUGGAAACGACUGCUAAUACCGCAUAAGCCCUGAGGGGGAAAGAUUUAUCGCCGAAAGAACGGCCCGCGGAAGAUUAGGUAGUUGGUGGGGUAACGGCCUACCAAGCCGACGAUCUA
rnacentral:rRNA from 1 species